AUUGAACGCUGGCGGCAGGCCUAACACAUGCAAGUCGAACGGUAACAGGAAACAGCUUGCUGUUUCGCUGACGAGUGGCGGACGGGUGAGUAAUGUCUGGGAAACUGCCUGAUGGAGGGGGAUAACUACUGGAAACGGUAGCUAAUACCGCAUAACGUCGCAAGACCAAAGAGGGGGACCUUCGGGCCUCUUGCCAUCGGAUGUGCCCAGAUGGGAUUAGCUAGUAGGUGGGGUAACGGCUCACCUUGGCGACGAUCCCUAGCUGGUCUGAGAGGAUGACCAGCCACACUGGAACUGGGACACGGUCCAGACGCCUACGGGAGGCAGCAGUGGGGAAUAUUGCACAAUGGGAGCAAGCCUGAUGCAGCCAUGCCGCGUGUAUGAAGAAGGCCUUCGGGUUGUAAAGUACUUUCAGCGGGGAGGAAGGCGGUGAGGUUAAUACCCUUGCCGAUUGACGUUACCCGCAGAAGAAGCACCGGCUAACUCCGUGCCAGCCGCCGCAGUAA
rnacentral:rRNA from 1 species